AGGGCAAAACCACCACAACCACAACAACUACUACGAAUCAAAGACGGCCGCCAAGCCCUGGGUUCGUUCGACAAUUGCUUCAUUUCUUUUACAUCAUCGUGCGUCUCAUCGUAAAGGCCGAGAACCUCUGCACUCUGUUCGAAUACCGCAGCUCUCUUUCGGGAAGGGGCGGACCAGGGAAACUAGGUCCCCCGCCAGGAGGUGGUGGGGGAGGAGGAGGCGCUGAGACUGGUGUGUCCGCAAUGUCCACAAUGGGUUGAUCGAGUUGGGUACAUAAUGUGUCGUUGUCCCAUUAAAUGCUGCCCCUAAUCAGA